rnacentral:rRNA from 1 species
GACGAACGCUGGCGGCGUGCUUAACACAUGCAAGUCGAACGCUGAAGCUUGGUGCUUGCACUGGGUGGAUGAGUGGCGAACGGGUGAGUAAUAAGUGAGUAACCUGCCCUUGACUCUGGGAUAAGCCUGGGAAACUGGGUCUAAUACUGGAUACGACAUGUCACCGCAUGGUGGUGUGUGGAAAGGGGUUUACUGGUUUUGGAUGGGCUCACGGCCUAUCAGCUUGUUGGUGGGGUAAUGGCUCACCAAGGCGACGACGGGUAGCCGGCCUGAGAGGGUGACCGGCCACACUGGGACUGAGACACGGCCCAGACUCCUACGGGAGGCAGCAGUGGGGAAUAUUGCACAAUGGGCGGAAGCCUGAUGCAGCGACGCCGCGUGAGGGAUGACGGCCUUCGGGUUGUAAACCUCUUUCAGCACGGAAGAAGCGAAAGUGACGGUACGUGCAGAAGAAGCGCCGGCUAACUACGUG